AAGGAAUAUUGGUCAAUGGGCGCAAGCCUGAACCAGCCAUGCCGCGUGCAGGAAGACGGCCCUAUGGGUUGUAAACUGCUUUUGAACAAGAGAAAACCUCGGUACGUGUACCGAGCUGAUAGUAUUGUUAGAAUAAGCAUCGGCUAACUUCGUGCCAGCAGCCGCGGUAAGACGAAGGAUGCAAGCGUUAUCCGGAUUCAUUGGGUUUAAAGGGUGCGUAGGCGGACCGAUAAGUCAGUGGUGAAAUCUCUCAGCUUAACUGAGAAACUGCCAUUGAUACUGUUGGUCUAGAGUAUAGAUGAUGUGGGCGGAAUAUGACAUGUAGUGGUGAAAUACUUAGAUAUGUCAUAGAACACCGAUUGCGAAGGCAGCUCACAAAACUAUAACUGACGCUGAGGCACGAAAGUGCGGGGAUCAAAC
rnacentral:rRNA from 1 species